CCAUUCGCUCCUGCCGCGCCGCCGGGAAGGUCGCCCUGCGCCAUGUGGGGCCGGUACAGCGCCGCGGCCCGGCGGCUGGCGCUCCUGAGCCUCGGCCGUAUUCAUAAUUCCAGAUCAUUCAGUCCAAGAUUGUGGAGGUGGAAGGGCAGUUCUGCCAAUGAAAGAGUGCUGCAGUACAAGACUGGAGAGCAUAUUCAUGGGUUCACAGUGAGUCAGGUGACGGCGGUACCUGAGUUAUUCUUAACUGCUGUUACCCUCAGCCAUGAUCAGACCGGAGCCAAAUAUUUGCAUGUGGCACGAGAAGAUUCCAAUAAUUUGUUCAGCGUUCAGUUCCGUACUACCCCCAUGGACAGUACAGGUGUGCCCCAUAUCCUUGAACACACUGUGCUUUGUGGGUCGCAGAAGUAUCCCGUCAGAGAUCCCUUCUUCAAAAUGCUCAACAGAUCACUCUCCACAUUCAUGAAUGCCUUUACAGCCAGUGACUACACCCUCUAUCCAUUUUCCACACAAAAUCCCAAGGACUUUCAGAAUCUUCUGUCUGUGUACCUGGAUGCUGUGUUUUUUCCUUGUUUGCAACCGCUAGAUUUCUGGCAGGAAGGUUGGAGGUUAGAACAUGAGAAUCCAACAGACCCUCAGACACCAUUAGUCUUCAAGGGAGUUGUUUUUAAUGAAAUGAAGGGAGCCUUUACAGACAAUGAGAGAGUAUUCUCUCAGCACCUUCAGAACAAGAUUCUUCCCGAUCAUACUUAUGCUGUUGUGUCCGGUGGCGACCCGUUGAAGAUCCCUGAUCUUUCCUGGGAGCAGCUGAAACAGUUCCAUGCUACGCAUUACCAUCCCAGCAAUGCAAGGUUCUUUACUUAUGGGAACCUUCCACUGGAGCAACACUUGAAGCAGAUCGAUGAGGAAGCCCUGAACAAAUUCCAGAGAAUUGAGCCAAAUACUGCUGUCCCACCACAACAGCUCUGGGACAAGCCCAGGGAGCAUCAUGUGACGUGUGGUAUGGAUUCCUUUGCUGCAGACCCCAAGAAGCAGACGAUGGUGAGCGUAAGCUACCUCCUGGCAGAUAUUACAGAUACUUUUGAAAACUUCACCUUGAACCUCUUGUCAUCUUUGCUGGUUGGUGGUCCGAAUUCUCCCUUCUAUAAAGCUUUAAUUGAGGCUGGUCUGGGUACAGAUUUUUCACCUGAUGUUGGGUUUAACAGCUCCUCACGCGAAGCCUAUUUCAGUGUCGGCCUUCAAGGGAUUUCUGAGGAAAAUAUUGACACUGUCAGGCAAAUUAUCGCUCGAACUAUUGAUGAAGUCAUUGAGAAUGGAUUUGAGGAAGAAAGAAUUGAAGCACUGCUCCACAAAAUCGAGAUCCAGAUGAAGCACCAGUCAACCAGCUUUGGACUUGCCUUAACUUCCUAUAUUGCCUCUUGUUGGAAUCAUGAAGGAGACCCUGUAGACCUGUUAAAGAUCGCUGAAAAGGUGUCUCGGUUCAGGCAGUGCCUCCAGGAAGAUCCCCAAUUCCUGCAGAAAAAAGUAAAGCAGUACUUUAAGGAUAACCCCCAUAAACUGAUGCUGUCGAUGAGUCCGGAUGCAGCUUUCUAUGAGAAGCAAGCAUCAAUGGAAGCAGCAAAACUGAAAGAGAAGGUUGAGGCUCUUUCUGAAGAAGAGAAGAAACAGACCUAUGAGAAAGGUUUGGAGCUGCUGGACCUGCAAAGCAAGCCUCAGGACCUGUCCUGCCUCCCAGCUCUGAAAGUUUCGGACAUUGAACCCACAAUUACCUUUACUGAGAUGGAGACGGCACUUCUAGCUGAGGAUGUCCCGGUCCAGCUCUGUGCUCAACCCACCAAUGGCAUGGUGUAUUUCCGAGCUGUUUGCAGCCUCAACACCCUCCCGGAGGAGCUUAGGCCGUACGUUCCCCUAUUCUGCAGCGUCAUCACCAAGAUGGGGUGCGGUGCUCUGAGUUACAGAGAACAAGCUCAAGAAAUAGACCUGAAAACUGGGGGCCUUUCCGUCAUCCCUCACAUCACUGCGGAUGACUCCCAUCUGGAUGUCUACGAACAAGGUGUGCUCUUCAGCUCUUUGUGUCUGGAUAGAAAUCUACCUGACAUGAUGCACCUCUGGAGUGAAAUAUUCAACAACCCCCAUUUUGAAGAGGAGGAACAUUUCAAAGUCUUGGUGAAGAUGAUGGCUCAAGAGCUCUCAAAUGGAAUUCCUGAUUCCGGACACCUGUACGCCUCCAUUAGAGCAAGCAGAACCCUGACCCUGGAGGGGGAGCUGCGAGAAAUGUUCAAUGGCAUGGAACAGGUGAAGUUGAUGAAGCGAAUUGCUGAAGCGUCCGACAUCAGGCCCAUGCUCCGCAAACUGCCGCGCGUCAAGAAGUACCUCUUAAACAGCGACAACAUGCGGUGUUCCGUGAAUGCCACACCUCAGCAGAUGCCAAAUGCUGCAAAAGCCAUAGAAAAAUUUGUUCUUGGGGUCGCCAAGAGCAAAAAGGAAAGAAAGCCUGUUCGUCCACAUGUCAUUGAGAAGCCUUCAGAUCCCAAACCUGGCAAUGAGGCAUUUUCUUCCUCCCUGAUCAGAAGAAAGCUCAUAACGGAUCCUGCAUUCCAGCCUUGUCAGAUGAAGACGCACUUUUUGCUUCCUUUCCCCGUCAAUUACAUUGGCGCGUGUGUCCGAACUGUUCCCUUCACUGCUCCAGAGCAUGCAAGCCUCCGCAUUCUUGCCCGGUUAAUGACAGCCAAAUUCCUGCAUACAGAAAUCCGAGAGAAGGGAGGGGCGUAUGGAGGAGGUGCUCAGCUUGCCCACAACGGCAUAUUCAGUUUCUACUCCUAUAGGGAUCCAAAUUCGGUGAGUACUCUGGCUGCUUUUGAAAGAGCUGCCGAGUGGGCCAGGGCAGGCAAGUUCACUCAGCAAGACAUUGACGAAGCCAAGCUGGCUGUGUUUUCCGCCGUGGAUGCCCCCACUGCACCAUCUGACAAAGAUGUUGUCUCCACUGUUUUGCUGAAGUCCCAGGGAUGGGCAACUUUCUGUAUGGAAUCUCAGAAGAGAUGAAACAGAGGCACCGGGAGCGUCUUUUUAUGGUCUCCAAGGAUAACCUGAUGGAUGCAGCGAACAAGUACCUCAUUGCUGGGAAGAGCACGAGAGGACUGGCUAUUCUUGGGCCGGAUAACCCAGAAACUGCCAAGGACCCUUCAUGGGUUAUACGAUAAGGCUUACACGAAAUCAGACGCACCAGCUCAUGUGACACAUACCAAAAUGACUUUGAAACCUCCACCUGUCUCUGAAAGUGCUAGUGGGACAAGAAGCCGUUUGCAGCGUGGAAGCUGUGGUAGUAUUUUUAUUGUAGAGAGACUUCACACUCUCUCUCUCUCAUUAAUGGAGCCCCGAGUCUGCCAGGCCACCCCCCCCCCACCACCACCACGCACCCACACACUAAAGCCCCAGAUAUUGGCCGAUCCGUUGGGACUAGGUCCUACUGGAGCCGUAGUUUGGGCUGACUAAUGGGCCACAAUAUUAGCCAGACUAUGCAUAAAUACCCCAAGUAUCCAAAUAAUAUUUUGUAGGAGGGCAGAUUUGAGCUUUCACGUGGUUUACUUUAAAUCAUGCCCACUGAAUAAAAAACCCUAUUUUUUAA